ACGCCGGGACUCGCAGUGCGGCCCGUGAGGGGCACCGGCACCGCCCUCAGCCACCUCCCCUUCCGCCCGCAGCCGCUCCGACACCGGAGCCGCUCCGCAGUAAUGUGGUGACAGGAAGGACUAGGCCGGGCCGGAGAGCAAGCGGAUGCACAAACACAGAGUCACCGAAUCAGUUCGGUUGGAAAAGACUUCUGAGAUCGUCCAGUCCAAUCUUUGAGCCAUCUACACCUUGACUCCUAGGCCACGGCACAAGUUUCUGUGUUCAGAUACAGAGGCAUUGGAUCUGAGUUCAUGCACCAAACAGAAGCAAUACAGUUCUGUGUAUUUUCUGCUGUGUACCAGCUCGUGCUUCCCACAAGGAAAUCCUUGUACUAGGAUGAGGACAGCAUCCUAUACAAUUCAAGCAAGACGGUGGUUCUACUGAUGGACAAAUAAAACACUUGGAGGAUUUUAAACCCAAGGACAGUGCUUAAAAAAUAAAAUGGUAAUAAACUGUCCAAAACAAGUGCACUCUGGAAAUUCAAAGAAAGGAAUGAAUCUUCAUUUAAAGACUGAGCUUCAGGAAUAUCUUGUCCAUAUGCAUAGUGGGGGUAAACAGUUAUGUCAAAGUCAGUCUUGCCAGGAGGAGUUUGUGACAACAUGGGAACUGCUCAGGAUUCUUGAUUUACUCCUGGUCAGCUGCAGUGUGACACACCUGUAUGCAAACGCAAUGUGUGUUACUUGUGUGUGUAUGUGAACCUCUGACAAGCACAUUAGGCCUUGAUUUCUUUUCUAGGAAAUACUAAGUGAAAUUAAAUCUUCUCUGACUUUUCUAAAAGAUGAAUUAAUUGUCAUAGCUUCUUUAAAAGAUUGCCUAAAGUCAGGGAUGGUGAUGAUGACUGUGGUUGACAACUCUGAUUCUUAGCUGCUUUCUCAAAAGGGUAUUGUUCACCCAUGCAGGAGACAAAAGUUCUUUGCUGUGCAGAGGAAAACUUGAAAUUAACUCAUUUCACAGCUGGAGACAACUAUAAAUUUCACCUAUUUCUUUCUUCAGUGUAAGACACUUUUUUUUUCAUCUUCUUUAUAUGGACUUGCAACUCUUUAAAAAAAUUAAAAACCUUCCUAGUCCCUUAGAAAUUGUCACCCAAUUAAAAAAACACUAAACUUGAUAUGACUGAGUAUAUUAGUCAUGAUUACAAUAUAAGACUUGUGUGGUGCUCCGACCUUACUGUUUCCUUUAAUAACUGUUUUGCUUUAAUAAAGACGAUUUUUUACUCUUCAGUGCCAUAUGUACUUCCUGAGGACUGCAUACAGACACACACUUGCAGAUAUGUGUGCUCUCCUCAGACAGAAGUUUGAAAAAGUAGAAUUUCUAAUUUCCUGGUGAAUGUCACUAACAAGUCUCCUAAUGGUGGGAUUUUAUAGGCUGGUGGCAUUGAGUUGUUAACCGCUAAGAAGCUAAUUCAUUAAUGAGAUUGUAAAGAUCAACAAAUCUUGAAUUUGAA